UAAGGCUGAGCUGUGAUGGCGAGCGAAAUAUAGUAGCGAAGUUCCUGAUUCCACACUGCCAAGAAAAGCCUCUAGCGAGGUGAGAGGUGCCCGUACCGCAAACCGACACAGGUAGGCGAGGAGAGAAUCCUAAGGUGAUCGAGAGAACUCUCGUUAAGGAACUCGGCAAAAUGACCCCGUAACUUCGGGAGAAGGGGUGCUCUGUUAGGGUGCAAGCCCGAGAGAGCCGCAGUGAAUAGGCCCAGGCGACUGUUUAGCAAAAACACAGGUCUCUGCGAAGCCGUAAGGCGAAGUAUAGGGGCUGACGCCUGCCCGGUGCUGGAAGGUUAAGAGGAGCGCUUAGCGUAAGCGAAGGUGCGAAUUGAAGCCCCAGUAAACGGCGGCCGUAACUAUAACGGUCCUAAGGUAGCGAAAUUCCUUGUCGGGUAAGUUCCGACCCGCACGAAAGGCGCAACGAUCUGGGCACUGUCUCAACGAGAGACUCGGUGAAAUUAUAGUACCUGUGAAGAUGCAGGUUACCCGCGACAGGACGGAAAGACCCCGUGGAGCUUUACUGCAGCCUGAUAUUGAAUGUUGGUACAGCUUGUACAGGAUAGGUAGGAGCCUUGGAAACCGGAGCGCCAGCUUCGGUGGAGGCAUCGGUGGGAUACUACCCUGGCUGUAUUGACCUUCUAACCCGC
rnacentral:rRNA from 2 species